rnacentral:rRNA from 1 species
GACGAACGCUGGCGGCGUGCUUAACACAUGCAAGUCGAACGGCAAGGCCCUGCUUUUGUGGGGUGCUCGAGUGGCGAACGGGUGAGUAACACGUGAGUAACCUGCCCUUGACUUUGGGAUAACUUCAGGAAACUGGGGCUAAUACCGGAUAGGAGAUCCUGCUGCAUGGUGGGGGUUGGAAAGUUUCGGCGGUUGGGGAUGGACUCGCGGCUUAUCAGCUUGUUGGUGGGGUAGUGGCUGACCAAGGCUUUGACGGGUGGCCGGCCUGAGAGGGUGACCGGCGACAUUGGGACUGCGAGACGGCGCAGACUCCUACGUGAGGCAGCAGUGGGGAACAUGGCACAAUGGGCGGGAGCGUGAUGCGGCAACGCCGCGGGCGUGAUGACGGCCUUCGGGGUGUGAACCGCUUUCGCCUGAGACGAAGCGUGAGUGACGGUAAUGGGUAAAGAAGCACCGGCUAACUACGUG